rnacentral:rRNA from 1 species
UACGUAGGGGGCAAGCGUUGUCCGGAUUUAUUGGGCGUAAAGAGCGUGUAGGCGGCCAGGUAGGUCAGCUGUGAAAACUCGAGGCUCAACCUCGAGCUGUCGGCUGAAACCAUCUGGCUAGAGUCCGGAAGAGGAGAAUGGAAUUCCCGGUGUAGCGGUGAAAUGCGCAGAUAUCAGGAAGAACACCCGUGGCUAAGGCGGCUCUCUAGUACGGUACUGACGCUGAGACGCGAAAGCGUGGGGAGCGAACAGG